GGCUGGCUGCUACUACGUGCAGUCGAGCGGACAGAUGGGAGCUUGCUCCCUGAUGUUAGCGGCGGACGGGUGAGUAACACGUGGGUAACCUGCCUGUAAGACUGGGAUAACUCCGGGAAACCGGGGCUAAUACCGGAUGCUUGAUUGAACCGCAUGGUUCAAUUAUAAAAGGUGGCUUCUACCUACCCCUUCCAAAUGAACCCCCGCCCCAUUACCUAUUUGGGAAGGUAACGCUCCCCCAAGGCAACAAUCCUUACCCAACUUAAAAGGGGAAUCGGCCCCCCUGGAACUAAAACCCGGCCCAAACCCCUCCGGAAGGCACCAUUAGGAAAUCUUCCCCAUUGAACAAAAUUCUAACGAACCACCCCCCCUUGAUUAAUAAAGGUUUUCGAAUCGAAAAAUUCUGUUGUAAGGAAAAAACAAUUCCCGUUCAAUUAGGGCGGACCCUUAACGGACCCUAACCAAAAACCCGGUUAAUUACUUGCCACCACCCCCGGAAAUACUUAGUUGGCAACCGUUGUCCGAAAUUAUGGGCCUUAAAGGCCCCCCAGGCGGUUCCUUAAUUCUAAUUUAAAACCCCCCGGUCCACCCGGGAAGGGUCAUUGAAAACGGGGAAACUUAAUUGCAAAAAAGAAAAUUGAAAUUCCACUUGUACCGUUAAAAUCCUUAAAAAUGUGAAGAACCACCAUUGCCAAAGGCAAUUCUCUGGCCGGUACCUAACCCUAAGGCCCAAAACCUUGGGAACCGAACAGGAUUAAAUCCCCUGGUAUUCCACGCCUUAAACAAUAAUUGCUAAUGGUUAGAGGGUUUCCCCCCUUUAUUGCUGCACCAAACGCAUUAGCCACUCCGCCGGGGAAUACGGUCGCAAGACUGAAACUCAAAGGAAUUGACGGGGGCCCGCACAACCGUGGAACAUGUGGUUUAAUUCGAAGCAACCCGAAAAACCUUACCAGGUCUUGACAUCCUCUGACAACCCUAAAAAUAGGGCUUCCCCUUCCGGGGCAA
rnacentral:rRNA from 1 species